CUCAGACAGUCCAGGUGCCAAGAAGCUGCCAUCGCCUGUUUGGAAAAGCUCACAAAAAGAAGUCAAUAUGUCAUGUGAAAAAAAAGAAGCUAAAACUACUGAGUUCAGUUGGCCUUGGGACAAAGAUAAGAAAGACGGCGAGAAGGGUGACAGUAAGGAUUGUAAAAAAGGUGACGAUAAGAAACACGAUAGCAAAGAUGGCCAUAAGAAGAAAAAGCAUGAGAAAAAUCAUGAGAAAAAGGAUGGAAAUGGUUCCUCGUCCUCCUCCUCGUCUUCCUCCAGCAGCAGCGAUGAGGGCUGAUGAUGCAUCGUGAAGGACGUGCCUGUUGAGUUGGAUUAUUUACCAUCAUGUAUUCAUACUGUUGAUGAACAAACCAAUACUCUGCCCUGUAUUAUUAACAUUGAUCACAUGGUGGCAGCACCUUCUCUUUUAUAUCUAAGAAAUACCAUCUGACGUAUGAGGGUGGGAGAAAUAAAAUUAGGAAAAAGAGAAUUUUUCA
rnacentral:lncRNA from 1 species